ACGAACGCUGGCGGCGUGCUUAACACAUGCAAGUCGAACGGAAAGGCCCUUGCUUGCAGGGGUACUCGAGUGGCGAACGGGUGAGUAACACGUGGGUGAUCUGCCUUGUACUUCGGGAUAAGCCUGGGAAACUGGGUCUAAUACUGGAUAGGACCAUGCUUUAGUGUGUGUGGUGGAAAGUUUUUUCGGUACAAGAUGAGCCCGCGGCCUAUCAGCUUGUUGGUGGGGUAAUGGCCUACCAAGGCGACGACGGGUAGCCGGCCUGAGAGGGUGUACGGCCACAUUGGGACUGAGACACGGCCCAGACUCCUCCGGGAGGCAGCAGUGGGGAAUAUUGCACAAUGGGCGCAAGCCUGAUGCAGCGACGCCGCGUGAGGGAUGACGGCCUUCGGGUUGUCAACCUCUUUCGCUAGGGAAGAAGCCACUUGUGGUGACGGUACCUGGAUAAGAAGCACCGGCUAACUACGU
rnacentral:rRNA from 1 species